CCAGCUUUGUUCAGAUCACCUACUGAAAUGCGCAUCACCUUCAAAAUCUGGGCUGUGAGCGUUUUUAGUCUCUGCUUCUGCUUGUAUUUUUUUCCCCUAUACCUUUUGUGAAGAUUUGGCAUAGAUUUGCAUUAACAAGAAUUACUCUUCCAGAGAAAAGUUCAGACUCUGAAGCAUUCUCUAAAGUUUAGCAAAUGGAAAAGACAGAACCAGUGCUAUCCACGUGACCAUAAGAAGGCUUCAGUUCUGGUGACAGAGAGGUUUGGCAGAGACGUUUGCUCCCUGAGAGAGUCGUUCUCUUAGGAAUCUGCAGAUGUGUCUCAGAAGGGUCAGUGGAUCUUAACCUGACCCAGGAUUUAUUAACUGAGAACGUCUGUCCACUUCAUCAUUCAUCUCCAAUGGCUGUACACAGCCUCCUGCAUUGAUUUCUUUGAAUCCAUUGUAUCAAUAGCAAUAAAGAAAUAUUAUAAUGGAAUGGACUGAUCAUCUUUUUCUCAACUGGAUUAUGUUAAAAUAUAAAUGAAGAUGAUGAUCCAUCAGUACAUGACCGUAGAGCAAAUGAAAUCCUAUACGAUAUGACAGAUAAUGAAAACCUUCAUAAAGAAAUUGUCCAGCAAAUAAAUCGAAAGGUUAAUCAAGAAAAGUGGCUAGGCAAAAAAACAAUUCUAAGAGAGAAUACUCUGCUUUAGGAAGCUUCAGAUGACAUCAAUGGUCUAGGAAAAUUCUGGCAAACUUUUAAAAUAAAAUGCUUAAACCUUUCUAUGUGUAAUGCUAUGUGAUUAAGCCUUCUGCAGCCAGUAAACUUGCCGCACAUUCUAGUCUUGAUUGCUUUAUGAUUUGUGUCUAGAUGAGCUGAAGAAACAGCAUUCUAAAACAUUU